GCUGUUUGCUCGGGGUCCCCUGUGCCUCGCUAUACUGUCGUGUCUUUUUCUCAGUUCCUUCACUGCCCCAGGUCCCCAACUCUCAGAGGAAGAAGAGGAUGUCUAAAUCUUCAGAAAUUCUUAUCAGUGGAGAAGAGAGACACAGUGAGAGAAGGAACACAAGCAGGGAGAGUGGGAGAGGAAGAAUCAGGCUUCCCGCCGAGCAAGGAGCCCGAUGUGGGGCUCGACCCCAGGACCCUGGGAUCAUGACCUGAGCCGAAGGCAGACGCUUAACGACUGAGCCACACAGGCGCCUGAUGGAAUUCCAAAAGAGCAAGCGAGAUCUCCAGUUUUUCCUGAGAUGUAGAAUCCUCAAGAACCACAUUGGGAUGUUCACAUGGGAUACUGAAUAGCACACUUUCAGCAACAUAAUAUACUGCUGGUUUGAAUGGGAGUGAAUUUCCUGUCAAGCUUUGGUUAUAACAAUACUCUUCUGAAAAGUGCACUAAAAUUUAAAGUGUAAAAAAAUGUAUUACAAAAAGAGAAAAUAAAAUAAAUGAAAGUGUGGGUUUUUACCAGCUCCGAUCAUGAAAGAAUAAAGUACUUGUAUUUACCAAAAAAAAUCAUGUAUUCAAAUGUAUAUUAGCAUAUUAUGGUUACCUAUAAAAGCUAAACUGGAAACAGAAGAGACUAGGAAAAGGCUUAUUAGAAUAACUUAAUUAACAUGAUAUAACAGAGCUUGGAAAAAUUCUAUAUUAGGAGACUUUUUUUUUUUUUUAAGAUUUUAUUUUUAAGCAAUCUCUACACCUAAAGUUGGGCUUGAACUCACAAUCCCAAGAACAAGAGUUACACACUCUACUGACUGAGCCAGCCAGGUGCCCCUGUAUUAGGAGACUUUAAAAAAUAGAAAUAAACAUAUAAAUCUUAUACAAUGAUGUUUCUGUAAUAUGUUUUUUAAGAAAAACAGAAACAAAGACAACUCAUGAAGUAAGAAUAGGAAGAAGUAUGAUUUCUUUUCAUCACUGCAAAGAAUUUGGAAAAUUAUAUUGUCAAAUUAAACUAUCAUACUGAGAACUAGACUGAACUGUCAGCUUCAGAACAUGUUAAUUUUCU